rnacentral:misc_RNA from 1 species
UGCCAGCAGGGUAAGUUCAUGGU